CAGAACAAGGCAAACAGGUUAAAAUGAUAAAUACAUAUAUUCAAUAAAUGUGACCUAAAGAGUUAAUACCUAAAUGGAUGAGCACACAGGGCUCGCCGCUGGAGAGUGGAGAUGAGUAAGAGCUGCAGCAAGACACCGGUUGGAUUGGAGGAAAAUAGAAAACUUAUGGGUAGACCAGUGGUUCACUAACGGAAAAAAGAGAAAACUUUAACAGCAAAGUUUUUGGAGAGGCCGAAGGGAGAUUUCAAUCUUCAGAUUUGGGAAUUCUGAUCCUCCGAAUGGAAGAAGACGAGUAGACGACUUACCUUUUGGUUGAAUCGGUCCCUUCAAUUUCCUUCCCGUCCCUUCAAUUUCCUUCCUGUUUUCUGUUGGAUUGUUA
rnacentral:lncRNA from 1 species